UUAAAAAGGUCAUAUAAAAAAGAUUAAGAAUUAAAUAUAAUUAAUAGAAGGUUUUGGAACACAAUCAACAGUUGAUUCUAAAAAUUAAUAUAAAGAUUCUAGAAAAUAAUAAAUGUAAUUCUAAGAAAUGAAUAAAUCUAAUCAGAUUUCAUCAUGAAAUACACAGGUGAAAUUUUGAAACAACUAACCUAGGAGAACGAUUAUAAAUAAAGGAGGAUUGGUGGUGGAAAGACACGUUCAGAAGGAGAGCAACAAGUAGGGGAAGAGAAGGAGCUGUCGUUUGACAAGAAGAUACUUAAGCUCCUCAUGGGUUGUAAUUCUAGCAAAAGUAACUCUGAAUCUGAUGCAGAACCAACAGGACCCAGCAGGAUUUGUGCUGGCUGCAAUACUGAGAUUGGGUCUGGCCAGCCAUAUAAGAGUAGUUUGAAUGCAUACUGGCAUCCCAAAUGCUUCCACUGCAGAGCUUGCAACAGAAGAAUCACAAAAAAUGAGGUGAUGCGAGAUUAUCUAUUUCCAAGCCAAAUUGCACACGUUCAUGCUUGAUCAUUUCCUCUAUUGGCUUG